GAGAGGGUGACNGGCCACACUGGGACUGAGAUACGGCCCAGACUCCUACGGGAGGCAGCAGUGGGGAAUCUUGCGCAAUGGGCGAAAGCCUGACGCAGCAACNCCGCGUGGGGGAUGACGGCCUUCGGGUUGUAAACCUCUUUCGACAUCGACGAAGCCUUCGGGUGACGGUAGGUGUAGAAGAAGCACCGGCUAACUACGUGCCAGCANCCGCGGUAAUACGUAGGGUGCGAGCGUUGUCCGGAUUUAUUGGGCGUAAAGAGCUCGUAGGCGGUUUGUCGCGUCNGCCGUGAAAACCUGCANCUNAACUGUGGGCUUGCGGUCGAUACGGGCAGACUUGAGUUCGGCNGGGGAGACUGGAAUUCCUGGUGUNGCGGUGAAAUGCGCAGAUAUCAGGAGGAACACCGGUGGCGAAGGCGGGUCUCUGGGCCGAUACUGACGCUGAGGAGCGAAAGCGUGGGGAGCGAACAGGAUUAGAUACCCUGGUAGUCCACGCCGUAAACGUUGGGCGCUAGGUGUGGGGAUGGGUUCCACUGUUUCCGUGCCGUAGCUAACGCAUUAAGCGCCCCGCCUGGGGAGUACGGCCGCAAGGCUAAAACUCAAAGGAAUUGACGGGGGCCCGCACAAGCGGCGGAGCAUGUGGAUUAAUUCGAUGCAACGCGAAGAACCUUACCUGGGUUUGACAUGCACUAGACAGCU
rnacentral:rRNA from 1 species